rnacentral:rRNA from 1 species
AGUCGAGUGAUGGGAUUCUUCGGAAUUUUUAUCGGAGGAAGGGUGAGUAACACGUGGGUAACCUGCCGUCAAAGAGGGGAAUAGUCUCCCGAAAGGGAGAUUAAUACCGCCUAAUAUGUUUUGAUCGAAUGAUCUUAAGAUCAGAGGAACUUUGUUCUUCUUUGAGAUGGACCCGCGGUGCAUUAGCUAGUUGGGGAGAUUAAGGCCCCCCAAGGCAACGAUGCGUAUUCGAUCUGAGAGGGUGAUCGGCCACAUUGGAACUGAG